rnacentral:rRNA from 1 species
CCUACGGGCUGCACCAGUGGGGAAUUUUGGACAAUGGGCGCAAGCCUGAUCCAGCAAUGCCGCGUGAGUGAAGAAGGCCUUCGGGUUGUAAAGCUCUUUUGUCAGGGAAGAAACGGCUCCAGCUAAUACCUGGGGCUAAUGACGGUACCUGAAGAAUAAGCACCGGCUAACUACGUGCCAGCAGCCGCGGUAAUACGUAGGGUGCAAGCGUUAAUCGGAAUUACUGGGCGUAAAGCGUGCGCAGGCGGUUUUGUAAGCCUGUCGUGAAAGCCCCGGGCUCAACCUGGGAAUUGCGAUGGAGACUGCAAGGCUUGAAUCUGGCAGAGGGGGGUAGAAUUCCACGUGUAGCAGUGAAAUGCGUAGAGAUGUGGAGGAACACCGAUGGCGAAGGCAGCCCCCUGGGUCAAGAUUGACGUUCAUGCACGAAAGCGUGGGGAGCAAACAGGAUUAGAUACCCGUGUAGUC